UCGGGAAUCUUGCGCAAUGGGCGAAAGCCUGACGCAGCAACACCGUGUGAGCGACGAAGGCCUUCGGGUCGUAAAGCUCUGUUGUUGGGGACGAAGGGUUAGGGGUUAAUAGCCCCGAGCCUGACGGUACCCUUCGAGGAAGCCCCGGCUAACUACGUGCCAGCAGCCGCGGUAAUACGUAGGGGGCGAGCGUUGUCCGGAAUUAUUGGGCGUAAAGAGCGUGUAGGCGGUUCGGUAAGUCUGCCGUGAAAACCCAGGGCUCAACCCUGGGCGUGCGGUGGAUACUGCCGGGCUAGAGGGUGGUAGAGGCGAGUGGAAUUCCCGGUGUAGCGGUGAAAUGCGCAGAUAUCGGGAGGAACACCAGUAGCGAAGGCGGCUCGCUGGGCCAUACCUGACGCUGAGACGCGAAAGCGUGGGGAGCAAACAG
rnacentral:rRNA from 1 species